rnacentral:rRNA from 1 species
CGCGGCCUAUCAGCUUGUUGGUGGGGUGAUGGCCCACCAAGGCGACGACGGGUAGCCGGCCUGAGAGGGCGACCGGCCACACUGGGACUGAGACACGGCCCAGACUCCUACGGGAGGCAGCAGUGGGGAAUAUUGCACAAUGGGCGCAAGCCUGAUGCAGCGACGCCGCGUGAGGGAUGACGGCCUUCGGGUUGUAAACCUCUUUCAGCAGGGAAGAAGCGCAAGUGACGGUACCUGCAGAAGAAGCGCCGGCUAACUACGUGCCAGCAGCCGCGGUAAUACGUAGGGCGCAAGCGUUGUCCGGAAUUAUUGGGCGUAAAGAGCUCGUAGGCGGUUUGUCGCGUCUGCUGUGAAAACCUAAGGCUCAACCUUGGGCUUGCAGUGGGUACGGGCAGACUAGAGUGCGGUAGGGGUGACUGGAAUUCCUGGUGUAGCGGUGGAAUGCGCAGAUAUCAGGAGGAACACCGAUGGCGAAGGCAGGUCACUGGGCCGCAACUGACGCUGAGGAGCGAAAGCAUGGGGAGCGAACAGGAUUAGAUACCCUGGUAGUCCAUGCCGUAAACGUUGGGCACUAGGUGUGGGGCUCAUUCCACGAGUUCCGUGCCGCAGCAAACGCAUUAAGUGCCCCGCCUGGGGAGUACGG